rnacentral:rRNA from 1 species
GACAGAGGGUGCAAACGUUGUUCGGAAUUACUGGGCGUAAAGCGCGUGUAGGCGGCCCUGCAAGUCGGAUGUGAAAUCCCACGGCUCAACCGUGGAAGUGCAUUCGAAACUGCAGGGCUAGAGUCCUGGAGAGGGAAGGUGGAAUGCUUGGUGUAGAGGUGAAAUUCGUAGAUAGUCAAGCGGAACACCGGUGGCGAAGGCGGC